rnacentral:lncRNA from 1 species
AUGAAGUUUCCAAUGGGCUCAGAACUGGGAAAGAAACUCAGAUCCCAUCCAUCCAGGAUACCGGCUAUAGUCACAACCUCGGGCCAAAAAAGUGUUUGCUGGGCCAUCUCUGCAGGUCUACCUAAGGUGUUAUCAGCAACCAAUUUGUUUCUAACGUUCUGCAACCAUAUCUGUAGCUGCAUUUUACGGAAGGCAGCCAGGAGUUUAGAGACAUCUCUCCACAGGGUUUCCUUGGUGUUCCAGGGUGAAGACCCCACGCUCCACUGCAGGACGUAGUUUCAGUCCCUGCAGGGGAACGAAGGUCCCACAUGCUAUGCCAUGUAGCAAAAACCCACAAAACAUACAAAUGACCCUCCUAGCCAGCCCAUCCCUCCUCCUGAGGAGUCUUUCCAGAUGUUGUCAUUUUCUUCAAAUCCAGUAAAGCCCAUAAAUAUCUUCCAGUUAACUUCUGCAAAGUAAUGACAAAUUGCACAGGUGUGGGGAGCUGCCCAUGAGAACGGGGUCCUUUAUCUAAAGGACACAGCCCUGAAGCUGUCUCAGUCUUUGAGGGUUUGCUUGCAAACAUAGCUCUCUGUCCCACCACCCCAGAGAUUAGGCGACUAUUAACUGCAGACACGUGGAGUUUUGGACAAACUUUUCACGCACAGGAAAUGUUAUCUGGUGUAAGAAAUAAUAACAGGGUGCCAUUCCCAUGCUCUCAAGAUUUCUUGUGACUUUUCGUAAGAUGUAUAGGUCAACCAAGAAAAAUGUUAACUGUCUUGUUUUCUCUUGCUCUCCUGUAAAAUAUAAGAUGCUGAAUAAAGUCGUUGUCAGACCGCUUCCCUUUGUGCAGACGUGUCUGAUCCUCUCGACCCCAUCUUUGCUGUAGUAUUCUUUCUCAGCCGCGUUGUGCACGUUCUCAGGAACUGAUCGACUUUGCCGGCUGGCUCCGGCAGGUGGCGCCCGAACAGGGACUCGAAAAUCGGAGUGUAACGACGGCCGCUGCCCGUCAAGAUUGAGGUAAGUAACAAGGAAUUCCUAAUUAUUGAAGGGACAGGGAGUGUUAUUGUCGAGAGUAAUAAAUCAUGAGACAAGGCAAUAGCCGCCAGUUAUUUGUACAUAUGUUGAAAACUAUGUUAAAAGACAGGGAAUUUAUGUAAAUAAGUUACAGCUAGAAAAGUUUUACUUUUGUAGAAAAAGUUUGUCCUUGGUUCCCAGAGAAAAGAACAGGUAGUCUAAAACCUGUAAGAAAGUAGGAAAACAAUUGCAGACAUAUUACUCCUUACGUGGUCCCAA